AGCGAACGCUGGCGGCAGGCUUAACACAUGCAAGUCGAGCGGGCAUAGCAAUAUGUCAGCGGCAGACGGGUGAGUAACGCGUGGGAACGUACCUUUUGGUUCGGAACAACACAGGGAAACUUGUGCUAAUACCGGAUAAGCCCUUACGGGGAAAGAUUUAUCGCCGAAAGAUCGGCCCGCGUCUGAUUAGCUAGUUGGUGAGGUAAUGGCUCACCAAGGCGACGAUCAGUAGCUGGUCUGAGAGGAUGAUCAGCCACAUUGGGACUGAGACACGGCCCAAACUCCUACGGGAGGCAGCAGUGGGGAAUAUUGGACAAUGGGCGCAAGCCUGAUCCAGCCAUGCCGCGUGAGUGAUGAAGGCCCUAGGGUUGUAAAGCUCUUUUGUGCGGGAAGAUAAUGACGGUACCGCAAGAAUAAGCCCCGGCUAACUUCGUGCCAGCAGCCGCGGUAA
rnacentral:rRNA from 1 species